UAUUCAUGUCCUGAAUGGAGCCACAGUGCCAGAGAACACAGAACAGUGCCCCGUAUAACAGAUAGUUGAUGGAUGUUGACUGGGCUGAGCUUUUAUCCAUGACUGUGCCAAGGUUGUUCUUUGAAGACUUCUUGCUUUCAGAGGAGCCUAAUUCCUGAAUGUAGCAGCCAUGAAACGAACCAGAAUGAUCUCUCUGAUCUCCUCUUGAACAGCACUGGGUGGAACACAAGCCUUGCUUUCUGCUAGGAGCCCCAGGACAGGAGCUCCACAAGAAGACCAACAGAGCCAACUAACCAGGGACCAGAGAGCUUGCAGAGACUGAAGCACCAACCAAGGACCAUGAAUACACUGGACCUAGUCCCCCUACACUGAUGAGCAGUUCUGGCUUCAUGUGGGUUCCCUAGUAAUGGGGACAGGAGCUAUCUAUGACAAGGACUCUGUUGCCUGCUUUUUGAUCUCUUGCCACUGGUGGGGCUGCCUCACCAGGCCACAGGUAAAGAGGAAGCACUUAGUACUGAUGCAACUUGAUGAGCUGUGGUGGGUUGGUGGUGGUGGAGCUCCCCUUUUCUGAGGAGAAGGGGAGAGGGAAAGGAGGAAGAAGAAGGAAGGGUGUGACUGGGAGAAGAGGAGGGAGGGGGCUACAAUUAAGAUGUAAAGUGAAUGAAUAAAUAAAUAAAUAUUUAAAAAAAUGAAAGAUAAAGAGAAAGAAAGAAAGAAAGAAAGAAAGAAAGAAAGAAAGAAAGAAAGAAAGAAAGAAAGAAAGAAAGCUACAUGGCAAACUGGCUCAUCUCUAACACUAUAACAACCACGUGUACUUUUUUUAAAAAUCUAGAUGCAAUGCUCUACUCCCAAAUCCACACCCUCCAUCCUCCUCACCUCUCCUCUUUCCCUCUUUAGUUAAUAUGGGUUGAGAAGGUCACUGAGCUACUGAGCUAUCCCAGUGAGGUGGAGGGUCCACUCCUCACCUGCAUGCCCCUGUUUCUUCCUGUGUCACUCUGUUCUGCCCUACUGCCUGUUAAUGCACUAUCUCUCCGGACACUGCUUAAAUUAACCUUCUAUACCCAGGUCUUCCAGGAGCCUCUCCUAAAUUCUCCAGCAAGGCCCUGAGGCUUUGAUCACAGCUGAUGCCACUGUCAGGCUGAUGAUGAGCAAAAGAAUCCAGACAGAGCACGGUUUUAUAUGGUUUUCUCAUCUUCCUGGGGAGCCUCGGGAAGCUCUCAGAAUUUCAGCUUCAUGCACUGGGACUUUGCAUAAAAAUUGCCUGAUUUGUGUAUAAAUGAUUGGAUGUCAAAGCCAUUUGGAAAAUACAAAGGACAGUAUAAAUGCUGGUUUAAUAUUUAUGGUGUCGCCAUUAAAUAUAAAUUACUAAUCCAGACACUGAAAGGAGGAAAAACAAAAUAAAAAAAGAACUUGCUGUAAAGAAACUCUCCCAAAAGUUAGGAAGAGCUGAUUUGACAGCAAUAAAGCCCCAGAAAGUGCUAGAAAUUCGAACAAGAAAAAAAAAAAAAGGAAAAAAAGCAUUGUUGUCAGACAACUCAUAGAUGGCAUCAGGAAGAGACAUCUGUCUGGAAAAGAGGAGAAGGUGGGGCCUGAGCUGUGGGCUUUGGCAGGAGUGUGUGGUAAAACGUGAUGAGCACCGGUGAUAGCGGUGACCCAGGAAGGAGCCGUGAUUCAAUUCAGCUGCCGCACAGGCCCACACACCCAGGCUUCACAUGAGACGCAGCACGCAGCUUGGAAGCUGUUUGAAAAAUGCGAAGUGUUUGGGGGAGGUUCCCCAGCUGGCUGAAGAAGAGAAGCUGUGGACAUUGGCUUUGUGAAGCAGGUCUAAGGGGAACACUGUGGUGAUGCCUCCCAGAGUUCUGAACACGGUCACCUGACCAACAGCAUGCUCUUGCUCUAGGUUUCCUCAAGAAACCUGGAGCACAGCUGCAGCUCAGGAAGAAACACACAUCAGUGGGACACCAAGCUGUGCGUCUUUUGCUUGGGAAUGGAAGAUGUGAACGCAUGCAUGUGGAUGUAAGAAGGAUGCUCAUUUUAAUUUUUCUUCUGGGGAUGAAAUCAAAUAAACCCUUGUACCUCUAAUGACUUGUGAAGUGGCCUGAGAUGAUUCCCGGAGGAGGAUACAUUUGCAAAUCAUUGAUCCACAUUCAGCAUCCUUUUGCCAGUCCACAAAGCCUCUCCUGCACCGAGAGGGAACAGAGAAGCACUCUCACCCACGAGUCAGCAGGGAAUCUCCUCCAAGGACAGGGUCUCUUCCUGCCACCCCGUGUUUUCCUGAUAAUGCACUUUAUCAGACCUUCCAUGAAAACAAGAGGGGUCCAUUGAUGUCCUGGUGUUUCCUCAUUUUGCUGAAACUUCAUUUGUCCGAUGGGAAGACAGUCUGCUCUGGGUGCAGAGCCUAGCCUGGUUUCUUCAGACCUUGUAUUCCUUCUGUUAUCUGGGUUCCCUGAAUGGCUGCCAGUUAUACUAAUGAAGAUGAGGAGAACUUCUCUUUCCUGCCCUACGCCUUCAUUGGGAGCCACUGGACUUUAGCAUAACAGCUGGAGAAUUGACCCUGUUUAGAAAUGAACAAUGAAGGAGGCCUGGAUGGCCAUCCAUGAACUGCGGAGCAAGGAUCUGCUGCACACUGGCAAGGCCACAUCCUGGGUGGAGCCCUGCUUGAAGAGGUGUGGCCUGUGAACACAGCACAAGUAUCCUCUCAGAGCUUGGGGAGUAUGGUGGAGGCUCAGAGUCUCAGGCCAUAGCCCACCCCUCCAGAUGAGCGGGCUUGGAAGCUCUGCACCUGUUCUAGUUACAGCCAUGGCACAAAGUGUGAACUUGAGCCAGACACUCAAAGCUGAGGUUCCGGACUCCACCACAGGAGUGAGAAUUCCUGGAACUAAGCUAUGUCUAAGCAACAGGUGACUGAUUAGGCCUGCAGUGAUAGAGUGGGGUUCUAAUGUUACAGGUCCAGAUUGACGUUGCUGAUUGGAUGUGAGGCUGGAAGUUGAAAUGUUGUAGGUCUCAGGCUAGCUUUAGCCUGCUCAAAGCCAUCCCUUGCCCGUUUUUGUGUCAGACCUACCAUCCUGUGACUAACAGAUAACAAACCUUUUUGAAUGUGCUCACUUAGCAGACAGUAGCUUCCACCAACCCCAAAGCUAAGGAUGCUCCAGACAACAUCUGAGGCCUAGAGAUGAGUUUUUUCUUUUGCUCUGACCCGCCUCUCUGAUGUGCCCACGAAUGUGUUUGAAAAAUGUCUUGAUUUGUGCCUUCCUUUGUUCUGUUACUAUAAAAACUUCAUGAAACUGCUUCUACUCUGGAACAUGGAAUUCAGGGUGACCUAAAUCUAUGUUCCUGGGCCAUGGUCACUCAUACUUGACUCUGAAAUGAACUGUCUCUUAUCCUCUUUGAAAUUAGGAGCUGUGUUUUGGCACCAUAACCACUUCCCUACUGUGACAUUCUGGCCCAUUCCUACAAAAUGGGGGAACUAGUUGCAUGAA